ACGGAAGGCAGCAGUGGGGAAUAUUGCACAAUGGGCGCAAGCCUGAUGCAGCCAUGCCGCGUGUAUGAAGAAGGCCUUCGGGUUGUAAAGUACUUUCAGCGGGGCGGAAGGGAGUAAAGUUAAUACCUUUGCUCAUUGACGUUACCCGCAGAAGAAGCACCGGCUAACUCCGUGCCAGCAGCCGCAGUAAUACGGAGGGUGCAAGCGUUAAUCGGAAUUACUGGGCGUAAAGCGCACGCAGGCGGUUUGUGAAGUCAGAUGUGAAAUCCCCGGGCUCAACCUGGGAACUGCAGCUGAUACUGGCAAGCCUGAGUAUCGUAGAGGGGGGUAGAAUUCCAGGUGUAGCGGUGAAAUGCGUAGAGAUCUGGAGGAAUACCGGUGGCGAAGGCGGCCACCUGGACGAAGACUGACGCUCAGGUGCGAAAGCGUGGGGAGCAAACAGGAUUAGAUACCCUGGUA
rnacentral:rRNA from 1 species